ACCUCGGAUCAGGUAGGGAUACCCGCUGAACUUAAGCAUAUCAAUAAGCGGAGGAAAAGAAACCAACAGGGAUUACCUCAGUAACGGCGAGUGAAGCGGUAACAGCUCAAAUUUGAAAGCUAGCUCUUUUAGGGUUCGCAUUGUAAUUUGUAGAAGAUGCUUCGGGUGUGGCCCCGGUCUAAGUUCCUUGGAACAGGACGUCAUAGAGGGUGAGAAUCCCGUAUGUGACUGGGUGCUUUCGCUCAUGUGAAGCUCUUUCGACGAGUCGAGUUGUUUGGGAAUGCAGCUCAAAAUGGGUGGUAAAUUUCAUCUAAAGCUAAAUAUUGGCCAGAGACCGAUAGCGCACAAGUAGAGUGAUCGAAAGAUGAAAAGCACUUUGGAAAGAGAGUUAAACAGUACGUGAAAUUGUUGAAAGGGAAGCGCUUGCAACCAGACUUGCGCGCUGAUGAUCAUCCGGGCUUCUGCCCGGUGCACUCGUCUGCGCUCAGGCCAGCAUCGGUUUCGGUGGUGGGAUAAAGGCCUUGGGAAUGUAGCUCCUCUCGGGGAGUGUUAUAGCCCUCGGUGCAAUGCCGCCUACCGGGACCGAGGACCGCGNUCGGC
rnacentral:rRNA from 1 species